AGAUUCAUAGUUUGUAGCACUCUCUGGGCGAAGGUGCUUGUUUUAAUUUUUCCAUUUACUUUUUCGAAGUCGUUUCAGCAAAACCUCGGGUCUGUUUCUGGUAAGAUUUACAGAAGCCAAAUAUCCAUGGAGGUCGCUAUAACAAAGCAGCAAGGAAUGUGCUCACGAAAAGUGUCUGUAGCAAGCAACCAACAGUGCUGCCCCUGUUGAUCACUGUAAGAAACAAAACACAAUUAAAUAUCGUAACCAUAACAUUUAAUUUUUAUUUACAUUAAGAAAUCAUGAACACAAAGGAGUUUUGAAAUUUAAAUUUGAAUAUAUAUAUUAAAUGUGGAAUAAAAUUAAUUUAUUUCAGACUUGGGUGAUACAUAUUUUAUCUACCAACUUUAAAUAACAACAGAAAGAAGACGAGUGCUGCUUGCACUAUUGGUUAAGAAGUAGCAGCACAUAUGUAUACAUUUAAUAUAUCGCGUAAUACGGAGAAUAUAGACAUCACUGAAACUUGAAAAUAAUAUAGACGAAAUUCUGCGAAACGCUUGGCAAGAAUGUUUUUGUUAAUCAAGAAAGACAGAGUGAGGCUCAAAGGCGAUCAGACAAUGCCCUUGUUCUAACCAUAAAUGAUGCCAGCCAGCGAUAUGGUUAUGUUUUCAACUAACGUGGCCGGCAAUUUUCAGGAAACCGAAACUUUUGGGUU
rnacentral:ncRNA from 1 species